rnacentral:rRNA from 1 species
AUAUCAGUCAUGCAUAGCAUAUCAAUAAGCGGAGGAAAAGAAACUAACAAGGAUUCCCUUAGUAACGGCGAGUGAAGCGGGAAGAGCUCAAAUUUGAAAUCUUCAAGGUUUUACCUUGACGAAUUGUAGUUUAAAGAAGUGUUUUUCUGUUGGAGUUUUGGUAAAAGUUCUUUGGAAUAGGACAUCAUAGAGGGUGAGAAUCCCGUAUUUGACCAUUACUUUCCAGCUGUGUGAUACACUUUCAAAGAGUCGGAUUGUUUGGGAAUGCAGUCCAAAAUGGGUGGUAAAUUUCAUCUAAAGCUAAAUAUUGGCGAGAGACCGAUAGCGAACAAGUACCGUGAGGGAAAGAUGAAAGAACUUUGAAAAGAGAGUUAAACAGUACGUGAAAUUGUCAAAAGGGAAGCGUUUGACACCAGUGUUGUUUUAGUUCGAAAAUCAAUUCAAUAAUUUUUGAUUUUGAGUAGUAUUGACUUCAUCAGCUUGCUGCUUUCUUUUCAGAAAUUAUUGAAUGCACUUUUCAGUUAACAAGUCAACAUCAAUUUCUUUUGUUGUAAAAGGGUAAGAGGAAGGUGGCUUACGCUUCGGCGUAAGUGUUUAUAGCCUUUUACCUCUGCAAUCGGAGAGAUUGAGGACAGCAGCGUAGACUCUUCGGGGUUAGAUACACUUGUGCUAAGCUAUAGCCUUGUAUAGACAACUUGUUGACUAUGCUCAGUCAUGUAGCUUACUCGCUUGUGCUAUUUUACCUACGCUUAGGAUGUUGAUGUGAUACUGCGAGCA